ACUGGGCACGGUGGCUCAUGCCUGAAAUCCCAGCACUUUGGGAGGUGGAGGUGGGUGGAUCACUUGAGGUCAGAAGUUCAAGACGAGCCUGACCAACAUGGUGAAACUCCAUCUCUACCAAAAAUACAAACAUUAGUGGGCGUGGUNNNNNNNNNNACCACGCCCACUAAUGUUUGUAUUUUUGGUAGAGAUGGAGUUUCACCAUGUUGGUCAGGCUCGUCUUGAACUUCUGACCUCAAGUGAUCCACCCACCUCCAC
rfam:Chlorocebus sabaeus isolate 1994-021 chromosome 24, whole genome shotgun sequence.